ensembl:lncRNA
AUGGAUGGAGGUAUCUCAUUGGAUAGAGUUGUGUCUUCUUCUCUUCGUCUGAGGGCAGGGCAGUGGCAGUUGAGAUGGAUAGAGGUAUCUCAUUGGCCAGAGUUGUGCCAUCUUUUUCUUUUCAUCUUAGGCCAGGGCAGUGGCAGUUGGGAUAGAUGGAGGCAUUUCAUUAGAUUGAAUUGUGUCUUCUUCUUUACAUCUGAGGCCAGGACAGUGGCAGUUGGGAUGAAGGGGGUAUCUUAUUGGACAAAGUUGUGCCAUCUUUUUCUUUUCAUUUGAGGGCAAGGAAGUGGCAGUUGGGAUGGAUGGUGGCACCUCAUUGGAUGAAGUUGUGCCUUCUUCUCUUCGUCUGAGGCCAGGGCAGUGGCAGUUGGGAUGGAUGGAGGCAUCUCAUUGGAUAGAGCUGUGCCCUCUUCUUCUCUUCAUCUGAGGCCAGGGCAGUGGAAGUAGGGAUGGAUGGAGGCUUUAUAUUGGGUGGAGUUGUGUCUUCUUCUUCUCUUCGUCUGAGGCCAGGGCAGUGGCAGUUGGGAUGGAUGGCGGCAUCUCAUUGGAGGAGUUGUGCCUUCUCCCCCUCUUCAUCCGAGGCCAGGGCAGUGGCAGUUGGGAUGGAUGGCGGCAUCUCAUUGGAUGGAGUUUGUUUGUCAUAUCAUGAGGUGACAUAACUCACUGGGAAAAGACGCUAAUGCUCAGUAAAAUGGGAAGCAGUAAGAAACAAAACGAUGUUACAAAUAAAUAACAUCGAUGUUACAAAUAAAUUGAUUCCUUGAAAAGAAGUCACAUCUGCUCUUCAUUUGCAAGAUCUCAACAGGACCAUUGAAGACUGGGGAUCCUGGAGGUCUAUCAUUCAUGCAUCCCAUGAGUCGGAAUUGAUUUGAAGGCAAAUAACAACAACAAGAACAACAAGAACAAGAACAAGAACAAGAACAACAACAACAACAACAACAACUUCCCAUUUGAACAGGUUUAUCUGAUGCAGAGAUUUGUAUUCAUUUGAAGGUAAUGGAAGAAGAUUCUCACACGUGGUGUGAUUUUGCAUUGCAUGUGCAGAUGAACACAAUGCAGGGUACAUUGCCCAUGAAGGCAUGCACUGCACCCUGCAAUGUUUUGGUUUCAUGUGUUGUCAAAGGCUUUCAUGGCCGGGAUCACAAGGUUGCUGUAUGUCUUUUGGGCUGUGUGGCCAUGUUCCAGAAGUAUUCUCUCCUGACGUUUCGCCCACAUCUAUGGCAGGCAUCCUCAGAAGUUGUGAGGUAUGGAUAAACUAAGUAAGGAAAGGAAAGAAUAUUUAUCUGUGUAGAGUCCAGGGUGUGGCAAGAGUCCUUUUGUCACUGGGAAGCCAGCAUUAAUGUUUCAGUUAAUCACCCUAAUUAGCAUUGGAAAGGUUUUGUCUCUUGCCUGGGGGCAUCCUUUGUUCAAUCCUUGGGGCUCCUCUGCCUUCAGAGUGUUGGUUCCCAUCUACUAUUUUGAUUUUAGAGUUUUUUAAUACUGGUAGCCAGAUUUUGUUCAUUUUCAUGGUUUCCUCCUUUCUGUUGAAGUUGUCCACCUGCUUGUGGAUUUCAAUGGCUUCUCUGUGUAGUCUGACAUGAUGGUUGUUGGAGUGGUCCAGCAUUUCCGUGUUCUCAAAUAAUAUCCUGUGUCCAGGCUGGUUCAUCAAGUGCUCUGCUAUGGCUGAUUUCUCUGGUUGAAUUAGUCUCUGCAGUGCCUUUCAUGUUCUUUGACUCUUGUUUGCCACACCCUGGACUCUACACAGAUAUAUAUUCUGUCCUUUCCUUACUUAGUUUAUCCAUACCUCACAACCUCUGAGGAUGCCUGCAUACCCUGUUUCCCUGUAAAUAAGACAUCCCCUAAAAAUAAGACCUAGUAGAAGUUUUGCUGAAAUGCUAAAUAUAAGG